GCCGAGCUCCUUAGGCUCAGAGCCAGCUCCGGGCUCCUCAGACUCGGAGCCUUGUCUAAAUUGCUUUCUCUCUUCCGAUAUAAGCUUCCUUAUUGUUGUGUUUUACUCAUUUGCUUCCAAACCGUCGAACAGAAAUGAUCAAUCUUCUAAGGCACAAGCCAUAUCUUGAAUUGUUGGGCACGUCCGAGCCUGAUCAACAACAAGCACUACUGGAAACAGCAACCGCCGAACAAGUACACUGCCUGUGUCUCUGUGUAGAAAACGUUAUGAAAAGAAAAUAUUUAAUGCCGAAGCAUGUGAUGAAGAAACUCCGACCUUACAAAAAUGAAAUGCUUAGGUUGGCAGAUAGAGGAAAAUGUGGAAGAAGAAAAAAACGGAUACUCGUUCAACGUGGUGAAGGUUUCCUUGGACUAUUACUAAGUCCUAUUUUGGAAAGCCUGGCUGAACUUGUAUAAAAGCCCUGUGACUACAAUUUAUACAUCAUUUCAACAAUGAACAUCGAGAGUAAAACAUCUCCGCGACAUUGGCGCAUUGAAGAUAUACUUUUGUAUCUCAACAAUAAUGUCAAAAAAGCUACAGCAGAAAAAAUUCUACAUUCUAUUCUUAUAUCAAGCGAUAUAUUAACUUGGAAUCCUCAGGGGGAGAUUGUUUAUCAUGGCAGAGACAUUGCUGGUACUAACAUCGAGAACCUUUUACAAUACGCACUUUUACCAUACAACUCUCACAUUCCUGAACCACGAGGGCUUGACCUGUUUACAAAAGGUUUAGUAGAAGCAGGGGUUAAUAAAGAUUUAAUUAAAAAUGAGCAUUUAUUGUCAAAAAUGGCAAAGGAGGAACAUGAAAUGCCACAAUCUGAGAGUGAUGUUGAAAGCGAAUCUGGUGAAGAGAACAGGGAAUCUGACAAGAGUGAUAAUGAAAGCGAAUAUGAUGAUAAUCAGGAUGAUGAUGGUGAUGAUAAUGAUGAUGAGUCCGAGAAACUAGCUUGUAACCAUUGUGGUGAAGAGACUGGUCACAUUGUAUACUUAAUGAAGUGCCCAAGAUGUUCGUGGAAAGAUUUCUACUGGGGCAAAGACGCUCAAUGUAUGAUAUGUGAUGAACAGUCACCUCUACUGUUUUCACAUGUCAUUGGUUUCUGCGAGCUAUGUUCGUAUGGUACGUCUAACACCAAGACGGGUGGAAUGGAGUUCACACCAAAAAUGGACAAAUAAAAUAUCCAGCAGAUUGGACCGAACGUGACCUAGCGCGAAUGACUCCGGAAGCACGAGAGGAUUAUGAACGUUUUAUAUUGAGCGACCGACCAAAAUAUAUUCCAAUGAAGCCGGAAAAACUUGCAAAGUCAUCCCCAGAAGAUAGACAAGAAUAUGAGAACUCUUUAAAAAUAACAAAAACACCUAGAC
rnacentral:lncRNA from 1 species